AGUCGAGGGGUAUGGUUCUUCGGAACCAGAGACCGGCGCACGGGUGCGUAACGCGUAUGCAAUCUACCUUUCACAGAGGGAUAGCCCAGAGAAAUUUGGAUUAAUACCUCAUAGUAUAUAGACUUGGCAUCAAGAUUAUAUUAAAGAUUUAUCGGUGAAAGAUGAGCAUGCGUCCCAUUAGCUAGUUGGUAUGGUAACGGCAUACCAAGGCUACGAUGGGUAGGGGUCCUGAGAGGGAGAUCCCCCACACUGGUACUGAGACACGGACCAGACUCCUACGGGAGGCAGCAGUGAGGAAUAUUGGACAAUGGGCGCAAGCCUGAUCCAGCCAUGCCGCGUGCAGGAUGACGGUCCUAUGGAUUGUAAACUGCUUUUAUACAGGAAGAAACACUGGUUCGUGAACCAGCUUGACGGUACUGUAAGAAUAAGGAUCGGCUAACUCCGUGCCAGCAGCCGCGGUAAUACGGAGGAUCCAAGCGUUAUCCGGAAUCAUUGGGUUUAAAGGGUCCGUAGGCGGUCAGAUAAGUCAGUGGUGAAAGCCCAUCGCUCAACGGUGGAACGGCCAUUGAUACUGUCUGACUUGAAUUAUUAGGAAGUAACUAGAAUAUGUAGUGUAGCGGUGAAAUGCUUAGAGAUUACAUGGAAUACCAAUUGCGAAGGCAGGUUACUACUAAUAUAUUGACGCUGAUGGACGAAAGCGUGGGUAGCGAACAGGAUUAGAUACCCUGGUAGUCCACGCCGUAAACGAUGGAUACUAGCUGUUGGAAGCAAUUUCAGUGGCUAAGCGAAAGUGAUAAGUAUCCCACCUGGGGAGUACGAACGCAAGUUUGAAACUCAAAGGAAUUGACGGGGGCCCGCACAAGCGGUGGAGCAUGUGGUUUAAUUCGAUGAUACGCGAGGAACCUUACCAAGGCUUAAAUGUAGUUUGACCGGUUUGGAAACAGACUUUUCGCAAGACAAAUUACAAGGUGCUGCAUGGUUGUCGUCAGCUCGUGCCGUGAGGUGUCAGGUUAAGUCCUAUAACGAGCGCAACCCCUGUUGUUAGUUGCCACCGAGUCAUGUCGGGAACUCUAACAAGACUGCCAGUGUAAACUGUGAGGAAAGGUGGGGAUAACGUCCAAUCAUC
rnacentral:rRNA from 1 species